UCGCUGGGGGACUAGUGGUUAGGCCACAGCGUUCUCAUUGCUGCGGCCCGGGUUCGAUUCCUGGCCAGGGAA